CCCGGGAGUCCACACGUCCUUGCCCGAAGCUGGCGCUCUGCGCUCCGAGCGCGGGGCUGGCGGAGGGACAAGUCCCCAGGACCCUGGGGCAGACCUUCUGCUUUUGUCCCCUGCCCCUCCCCGCGCCCCGGGGAUUCCACGCAGCCAGAGAACCCGCAACAACUCCGCUCAUCUUGGCGUCAGAACGCGGCCGGAGACCCUCAUGAAAACCCCAGUUUCCCCAUCAGGAACCUGGAAAGUGACAAGGAACAGGCUCCACAGAGCCUGGUGGUCUUGACCACACCCUCUCCCCCUUCAGGGUCAAAUCUUCUGUGCAUCUUCCCAGUUCAGAAGAAAUACCAAGGCUAUCAGAUCCUGGGCACCGAGGUGAGGACACCUCCAGAGGCAGCUGAUAUGCUGCUUGGCAACGAUUAUAUCACACAUCACAUACGUCUGGAUCAAGUGUUACUUUGCAAGUAUUCAGCUAUGGCAUUAAAGAUCCUUUCAAGAACCCUUUUGAAUGGCUUCUCUAGGUGACACAGCAAAUGGAUUCCUAAGUAUGCAUCCAUUCUCCCGGGUAAACCACGAGUCUCAAAAAGUAGGCAGCAGGCUGGACCCGGUGGCACACGCAUGGAAUCCCAGCGCUUUGGGAGGCCAAGGCAGGAAGUUGCUUGAGGCCAGGAGUGCAAAACCAACAUGGCGAGACUCUGUCUGUAUAAGAAAUAAAAUAAAUUAUCCAGGUGUGGUGGUGUGUACCUGUUGUUCCAG
rnacentral:lncRNA from 10 species